rnacentral:siRNA from 1 species
AUACUCCCUUUGCUAUGCACUUCA